GUCUGUUGAAAAUGAGAGAUUGCCCUUUGGGCUUCCACAAUCAUUGAUCAUAAUGACAUAUAAAAUACGUAGCUGGAAUUGACAAACUAGAUAUAGUAUAUUAAUGAGCUGGUCCAAACAAUUGGCUUUGCCAUACAAGCCUCCAGAGUAAAGGCUGUUUUUCUAUGUGUUUAUUAUGAUAUUCUGGCCAUUGAAAACUAGAGUGUGCGUGCGUUCUUUCCUAUAUGCACCCUAGUUCUCUGUAUGCAAACUAGAUGGCACUUUGGAUUAAAGCAGGCUGGAAUUUAGUUGUUUGUAUAAUCAAGUAACUUUUGAAUGAAGAGCUUCUUUAUAUCUUUCAUCUUUUGUAAGAAAGAAAACUGGAAAUGGCUGGGAGUGAGGAUUAUUCUUGCAGCUGAGACAGAAGGAUGGGUGCACAAGGUCAUUCGGUCCAUGGACUUGUCCUGCAGAUGCUUACAGUGAGCGAAUGCCGACAUGGCCAGUACCAAUAACUGAAUCUUCUAGAUGGCUUUUGAUGUGAUAAGCUAUAGCUUGUCCAAUUGCAGUAUGCUUGGGAACCAUGGUUUGAAGAAGAACAGCUGCUGGAAGAAAAGCUUGAUGUCUGUGCCAAGGGAGACGUACACCGCACUUGCGCUGCCUGGACGAUGUGGAAACUGGAAAUUGUGGGGUGUGCUGAAGCAUGCCCUCUCAGCUUUCGCUCGUGGAAGCACAGAGCAAAGUGACAAGAAACAGCUGCGAGUUCAAGGAAUUGUCUACCUUGUUCUGAUCUCCUGCCAG